CACGGAGUUAGCCGAUCCUUAUUCUUCCAGUACAUUCAGCUAAAUACACGUAUUUAGGUUUAUUCCUGGACAAAAGCAGUUUACAACCCAUAGGGCAGUCAUCCUGCACGCGGCAUGGCUGGUUCAGGCUUCCGCCCAUUGACCAAUAUUCCUUACUGCUGCCUCCCGUAGGAGUCUGGUCCGUGUCUCAGUACCAGUGUGGGGGAUUCUCCUCUCAGAGCCCCUAGACAUCGUCGCCUUGGUAAGCCGUUACCCUACCAACUAGCUAAUGUCACGCGAGCCCAUCUCUAUCCUAUAAAUAUUUAAUCAACCGAACAUGCGAACUGUUGAUGUUAUGCGGUGUUAAUCUCUCUUUCGAGAGGCUAUCCCCCUGAUAGAGGUAGGUUGCUCACGCGUUACGCACCCGUGCGCCACUCUCACCAUCUUCGAGCAAGCUCUCCGAUGGAUCCCGUCCGACUUGCAUGUAUUAGGCCUGCCGCUAGCGUUC
rnacentral:rRNA from 1 species